GGAGGGUAUAGCUCAGUGGUAGAGCACAUGCUUAGCAUGCAUGAGGUCCUGGGUUCAAUCCCCAGUACCUCCU
rnacentral:tRNA from 1 species